rnacentral:rRNA from 1 species
UACGAAGGGGGCUAGCGUUGCUCGGAAUCACUGGGCGUAAAGCGCACGUAGGCGGCUUUUUAAGUCAGGGGUGAAAUCCUGGAGCUCAACUCCAGAACUGCCUUUGAUACUGAGAAGCUUGAGUCCGGGAGAGGUAAGUGGAACUGCGAGUGUAGAGGUGAAAUGCGUAGAUAUUCGCAGGAACACCAGUGGCGAAGGCGGCUCACUGGCCCGAUACUGACGCUGAGGUGCGAAAGCGUGGGGAGCAAACAGG